GAGUUUGAUUCAUGGCUCAGAUUGAACGCUGGCGGCAUGCUUUACACAUGCAAGUCGAACGGCAGCACAGGGAGCUUGCUCCCGGGUGGCGAGUGGCGCACGGGUGAGUAAUACAUCGGAACGUGUCCUGUUGUGGGGGAUAACUGCUCGAAAGGGUGGACUAAUACCGCAUGAGACCUGAGGGUGAAAGCGGGGGAUCGCAAGACCUCGCGCAGUUGGAGCGGCCGAUGCCCGAUUAGCUAGUUGGUGAGGUAAAGGCUCACCAAGGCGACGAUCGGUAGCUGGUCUGAGAGGACGACCAGCCACCACUGGGACUGAGACACGGCCCAGACUCCUACGGGAGGCAGCA
rnacentral:rRNA from 1 species